rnacentral:rRNA from 1 species
AGUGAACGCUGGCGGUAGGCCUAACACAUGCAAGUCGAACGGCAGCACAGAGGAGCUUGCUCCUUGGGUGGCGAGUGGCGGACGGGUGAGGAAUACAUCGGAAUCUACUCUGUCGUGGGGGAUAACGUAGGGAAACUUACGCUAAUACCGCAUACGACCUACGGGUCAAAGCCGGGGACCUUCGGCCCUUGCGCGAUUGAAUGAGCCGAUGUCGGAUUAGCUAGUUGGCGGGGUAAAGGCCCACCAAGGCGACGAUCCGUAGCUGGUCUGAGAGGAUGAUCAGCCACACUGGAACUGAGACACGGUCCAGACUCCUACGGGAGGCAGCAGUGGGGAAUAUUGGACAAUGGGCGCAAGCCUGAUCCAGCCAUACCGCGUGGGUGAAGAAGGCCUUCGGGUUGUAAAGCCCUUUUGUUGGGAAAGAAAUCCAGCUGGCUAAUACCCGGUUGGGAUGACGGUACCCAAAGAAUAAGCACCGGCUAACUUCGUACCAGCCGCCGCAGUAA